rnacentral:rRNA from 1 species
UAAUGAAUCGCUAAUGUACCCCGGACUCUGGGAUAGCCAGUCGAAAGACUGGGUAAUACCAGAUGAUAUAACCCCUCCGCAUGGCGGGGUUCUCAACGGUCCGCCGGUCUGGGAGCAGGCGAUUUCGUAUCAGCUAGUUGGUGAGGUAACGGCUCACCAAGGCGACGACGCGUAGCCGGACUGAGAGGUUGGCCGGCCACAUUGGGACUGAGACACUGCCCAG